UAAAUAUAUUUAGAAGAAGAAGAGGAGUUGGAAGAGGAAGAGGAGGAAGAAGAAGAGGAGCAACAACUCCUCCCAGGAGUGUGAUAUUUGUGGAAUAUGAAGAGCAAGGUGCAAACAGCAAUUUCUGAUGCCCAAGGAUUAGGCAGAAGGCCUCAGAAGAUACACAGGAGAGAAGGGCUUUCACCUGCUGGAAGCAAACAGGAAUCAAUAUGGUGAUCUAUGCAUAGUAGACAGAUAAAAACGGGAAUUUGGGCAGAUGUGCCAAGGGUAGACGUUUGGGCAAGAAGUCUGGACCCUCCGUUGCAUGGUUGCAAAGGAGGCUGCUGCAGUGGUCUCAAUGAGAACUGUAAGGGCCUCUGACCGCAGUCUUCCUCUGUCUAUUUGUGGUAAUAUUGGAUAAGUCUACUUUUUAAUCUUUUUUAUUUGGUCACUUGUUUCUUUUUGUAGGAACAAAAUGCUGGCAAGAAGGAAGGAAACUAGGGUGUUUCAAUUUGAUAUCCUGCUGUUAAAGACUAGGGGAAAUGAUUGGAUCUGUGAGAAGAAACAUUGUAAUCAAAAUGUAAAAAGUUAGACAACUUGGUUUUUCUUAUACCUUGUGUUAUUACAUAAUAUUCUUUCAAAUUUUCUUAUUUUGAUACUCUUACCUAGGUGAGGCAGAACUGCAAAUAGUCUCAAGACAUAUAUUCCUCUUUUUUCCUUAAAAAUGAAAUACUAAUUUUUUUGUUGAGCUCAUAGACUUUGGAGCAAGGUUUUAUAGGUAAGGUUACUAGAUAUGGUAAGGAAACUAACUUCUGGUCACAUACAAUGUGUGAUACAGAGUGUGAUUCUCAGAAGGUUUUUUUUUAUUGGUUGUUCUAAACAUUACAAUGCUCUUGACAUAUCAUAUUUCAUAUAUUUGAUUCAAGUGGGUUAUGAACUCCCAUUUUUACCACGUAUACAGAAUGCAGAGUCACAUUGGUUACACAUCCACGUUUUUACAUAUUGCCAUGCUAGUGUCUGUUGUAUUUUGCUGCCUUUCCUAUCUCCUCCUCUCCCCCUCCUCUCCCCUCCCCUCCCAUCUUCUCUCUCUACCCCCUCUACUGUAAUUCAUUUCUCUCUCUUGUUUUUUUUUCCCUUUCCCCUCACAUCCUCUUAUAUGUAAUUUUGUAUAACGAUGAGGGUCUCCUUCCAUUUCAGAAGGUGUUUUUUUUUUUAAUUUUUAUUGUUGGUUGUUUAAAACAUUACAUAGUUCUUGACAUAUCAUAUUUCACACUUUGAUUCAAGUGGGUUAUGAACUUCCAUUUUUACCCCGUAUACAGAUUGCAGAAUCACAUCGGUUACACAUCCAAUGAUUUACAUAUUGCUAUACUAGUGUCUGUUGUAUUCUGCUGCCUUUCCUAUCCUCUACUAUCCCCCCUUCCCUCACCUCCCCUCCCCUCUUCUCUCUCUACCCCAUCUACUGUAAUUCAUUUCUCCCCCUUGUUUUUUUUUCCCCUUCCCCUCACUUCCUCUUGUAUGUAAUUUUGUAUAACCCUGAGGGUCUCCUUCCAUUUCCAUGCAAUUUCCCUUCUCUCUCCCUUUCCCUCCCACCUCUCAUCCCUUAAUGUUUAAUCUUCUUCUCAUGCUCUUCCUCCCUACUCUGUUCUUAGUUACUCUCCUUAUAUCAAAGAAGACAUUUGGCAUUUGUUUUUUAGGGAUUGGC
rnacentral:lncRNA from 1 species